CUGAAUAACUACGCAGAUCGCUUCGGUUUCACACCGGCGACAUAUCCUUCAAGUGUCUGCCUUAUCAACUUUCGAUGGUAGUUUCUACGCCUACCAUGGUUUCGACGGGUAACGGAGAAUUAGGGUUCGACUCCGGAGAGGGAGCCUGAGAAACGGCUACCACUUCUAAGGAAGGCAGCAGGCGCGCAAAUUACCCACUCUCGGCACGAGGAGGUAGUGACGAAAAAUAACGAGAUAACCCGCUCUAGCGAGUUAUCAUUGGAAUGAGUACAAUCUAAAUCCUUUAACGAGGACCUAGCGGAGGGCAAGUCUGGUGCCAGCAGCCGCGGUAAUUCCAGCUCCGCCAGUGUAUAUCUAUGCUGCUGCGGUUAAAAAG
rnacentral:rRNA from 1 species